GGCCCUUUAGCUCAGUGGUUAGAGCAGGCGACUCAUAAUCACUUGGUCGCUGGUUCAAGUCCAGCAAGGGCCACCA
rnacentral:tRNA from 1 species